rnacentral:rRNA from 1 species
AACGAACGCUGGCGGCGCGCUUAACACAUGCAAGUCGAACGAGAAGGCGUAGCAAUACGCUUGUACAGUGGCGAACGGGUGAGUAAUACGUGGGCGACCUACCCUCGAGUGGGGAAUAACCCGCCGAAAGGCGGGCUAAUGCCGCGUACGCUUCCAUCUUUAUGGAGGUGGAAGGAAAGCCGUGCCGUGGGCACGGCGCUCAAGGAUGGGCUCACGUCCUAUCAGCUUGUUGGAGGGUAACGGCCUACCAAGGCUCCGACGGGUAGCUGGUCUGAGAGGACGAUCAGCCACACUGGCACUGCGACACGGGCCAGACUCCUACGGGAGCAGCAGUGAGGAAUAUUGCGCAAUGGGCGAAAGCCUGACGCGGCGACGCCGCGUGGGGGA